UGGUGAUUCAGUGGAAGAAUUCUUGCCUUGCACGCAGGAGACCUGGGUUCAAUUCCUGGCCA
rnacentral:tRNA from 1 species